GUGACAUUUCACUGAAUGGCAAGAUGGAUCCUGACCCAUGAAGAUCAGGCGGAAGGGCAUUCUUGGCAAAGGGAAUGGCAAUCAAGGAUUUGUACCCCUAGGAGGACUAUGUCUUCCUCAUCUUUGUCUUCAGAGGAUAAAUACAAGGCCUGACACAUAACAAGCAUGAGAUUAAUUUACCCGAGGUCAACCACGGUCCAAAGAUAUUAAAUGGAAAAUUCCAGAAAUAAACAAUGUGUAAGUUUUCAGUUGCAUGCUAUUCUGAGUAGCAGGAUGAAAUCUCGUGCUGUCCGGCUUCGUCCCACCUGGGAUGUGAAUCAUCCCUUUGUCCAGUGGAUCCGCGCUAUAGACACUACUCUCCCAUCAGUCACUCAGCAGCUGCUUCAGUUCCCAGAUCAACUGUCGCAGGAUCGCAGUGCUUCUGUUCAAGUAAUCCUUAUUUUACUUCAUUAUGGGCUCCAAAGCACAAGAGGAGUGUUGCUGGUGAUUCCGAUAUGCCAAAGGAAAGCUGUAAAGUACUUCCUUUAAGUAGAAAGGUGAAAGUACUUGACUUAAUAAGAAAAUUUAAAAAACAAAAUUGUAUGCUGUGGUUGCUAAGAUCUACAGUAAGAAUGAUUCUAUUCAUGAAAUCGUGAAGAAGGAAAGAAAUUUGUGCUAGUUUUGCUGUUGCAACUCAAGCUGCAAAAGUUACAACACCUGUGUGUGAUGAGUGCUUAGUAAUGAUGGAAAAGCCAUUAAAUUUGUGGGUGCAAGACACGGACAGAAACGUUCUGAUUGACGGCAAUCAGGUUCCAUUGGGGGUAUUGGAACACAUCCCUGAGGAUAAUGGGGGACUACUGUAUUCUACCAACUUAUUCCUCUUGAAGAAUUCCCUUUCGGAUUUCUGACUGCUGAGUCCUGGACUGGUUGAUGGCAAGGCCAGCUGCCCUGGUUGUCACCUGGAGACUGUGCUGCACUUUUCUCCUGGGUCGAACCCCUCAAUUCCUAGAUCCCACGUCUUCCCCUUCUGGGUUCACUACCUUAUUUGGGGGAACAUAUACCCAUAGCUUUCUUUUUGUUUUAUUUUUUGUUUACCUAUUUAUUUAUCUUAUUUUAUUUUUUGAGACGGAG
rnacentral:lncRNA from 1 species